GGAUCCCAUGUCACAUUUCAUUUGUCGUGUCUCUUCUGCCUCCUCUGAUUUCCCUUUCUCUUAUGAACCAGUGAUAAUCGCCUACACAUCCAUCAAGACCCAGGUAAGACAACUCUGCCCUAGACACAAAAGAGGAGUGACAUGUGUCCAACACAUUGGGGAGUGGGGAAAGCAGCGUUUGGGGGCACAGUCGAGAGGCAUCAGCUUGCCAUGGAACGUGGAUGCACAGUACACAGACAUAUCCCACUUUGACUUUGCUGCUCUGAUAAGUAUAGAUGUCACCUCCUUUCACCCUCAAAAGUGUCCUGCUUCA